rnacentral:rRNA from 1 species
GUAAGGAAUAUUGGUCAAUGGGCGAAAGCCUGAACCAGCCAUGCCGCGUGCAGGAUGACGGCCCUACGGGUUGUAAACUGCUUUUGUAUAGGAAGAAACCUCACUACGUGUAGUGGGCUGACGGUACUAUACGAAUAAGCACCGGCUAACUCCGUGCCAGCAGCCGCGGUAAUACGGAGGGUGCAAGCGUUAUCCGGAUUUAUUGGGUUUAAAGGGUGCGCAGGCGGAAUGAUAAGUCAGUGGUGAAAUCCUACAGCUCAACUGUAGAACUGCCAUUGAUACUGUCAUUCUUGAGUACAGUUGAAGUAGGCGGAAUGUAUCAUGUAGCGGUGAAAUGCAUAGAUAUGAUACAGAACUCCUAUAGCGAAGGCAGCUUACUAAACUGUAACUGACGCUCAGGCACGAAAGCGUGGGGAGCAAACAGGAUUAGAAACCCUAGUAGUCC